rnacentral:rRNA from 1 species
AUUGAACGCUGGCGGAAUGCUUUACACAUGCAAGUCGAACGGUGGAGGGGGCAACCCCUCGAGAGUGGCGAACGGGUGAGUAAUAUAUCGGAACGUGCCCAGUCGUGGGGGAUAACGUAGCGAAAGUUACGCUAAUACCGCAUACGAUCUAAGGAUGAGAGCGGGGGAUCGCAAGACCUCGCGCGAUUGGAGCGGCCGAUAUCAGAUUAGGUAGUUGGUGGGGUAAAGGCUCACCAAGCCAACGAUCUGUAGCUGGUCUGAGAGGACGACCAGCCACACUGGAACUGAGACACGGUCCAGACUCCUACGGGAGGCAGCAGUGGGGAAUUUUGGACAAUGGACGCAAGUCUGAUCCAGCCAUUCCGCGUGCAGGAUGAAGGCCCUCGGGUUGUAAACUGCUUUUGUACGGAACGAAAAGGUCUCUCUUAAUACGGGGGACUCAUGACGGUACCGUAAGAAUAAGCACCGGCUAACUACGUGCCAGCCGCCGCUGUAA